UGAGACCUCUUGAUGGCCGCGGCCGUGAUCUUCAUUGGGAUCGGCUGAGGAACUUCCGGGCUCCAUAGAGCACGAUGGCGGAUAACGUCCGCCCAGGGUGACCUGAGAGAUAGCGCAACAGAGAACAGACCGCCCGUCCUCGACGGGUAAGGGUGAAACGGCGGUGUAAGAGACCACCGGGCCUCUGGUAACAGUAGGUCGCAUGGCAAGCCUCAUCGGGAGCAAGGCCAAGCAGAUGGCGGUAAGGGCUGCUCGCCCGUGUCAUCGGGUAGGCUGCUAGAGCCUGGCGGUAACGUCAGGUCGAGAUGGAUGGCCAUCCGUGCCGUGCGUUCGCGCACGGCACGGAAGCACCCAGGGUAUAAGAGGUCUCAUUUU
rnacentral:RNase_P_RNA from 1 species